rnacentral:rRNA from 1 species
CUCCAGACUCCUACGGGAGGCAGCAGUGGGGGAUAUUGCACAAUGGGGGAAACCCUGAUGCAGCGACGCCGCGUGGGUGAAGAAGCGCCUCGGCGCGUAAAGCCCUGUCAGCAGGGAAGAAAAUGGCGGUACCUGAAGAAGAAGCCCCGGCUAACUACGUGCCAGCAGCCGCGGUAAUACGUAGGGGGCAAGCGUUAUCCGGAUUUACUGGGUGUGAAGGGGGCGCAGACGGCGAUGCAAGCCAGGAGUGAAAGCCCGGGGCCCAACCCCGGGACUGCUCUUGGAACUGCGUGGCUGGAGUGCAGGAGGGGCAGGCGGAAUUCCUGGUGUAGCGGUGAAAUGCGUAGAUAUCAGGAGGAACACCGGUGGCGAAGGCGGCCUGCUGGACUGCAACUGACGUUGAGGCCCGAAAGCGUGGGGAGCAAACAGGAUUAGAUACCCCCGUAAC